rnacentral:rRNA from 1 species
AUUGAACGCUGGCGGCAGGCCUAACACAUGCAAGUCGAACGAGUGGCGGACGGGUGAGUACUGUCUAGGAAACUGCCUGAUGAAGGGGUAGAACUACUGGAAACGGUAGCUAAUACCGCAUACCAUCAGAUGUGCCCAGCUGGGAUGAGCUUGUUGGUGGGGUACCGGCUCACCAAGUCGACGAUUCCUAGCUGGUCUGAGAGGCUGACCCGCCGCACUGGGACUGAGACACGUUCCAGAAUCCGACGUGAGGCAGCAGUGGGGAAUAUUGUAUAAUGGGCGCAAGGCUGAUGCAGCCAUGCCGCGUGUAUGAAGAGGGCCUUCGGGUUGUAAAUUACGUGCAGCGGGGAGGCGUUACCCGCAGAAGAAGCACCGGCUAACUCAGUGCCAGCAGCCGCGGUAAUUC